rnacentral:rRNA from 1 species
GGUGAACGCUGGCGGCGUGCCUAACACAUGCAAGUCGAGCGGUGCAGCUGGAGGCUUCGGCCGAAGGCUGCAUAGCGGCGGACGGGUGCGUAACGCGUAGGAACGUGCCCCCUGGAGGCGGAUAGCCGCGGGAAACUGCGGGUAAACCGCCAUAGACUCGGGAGAGUAAAGGCCGAAAGGCGCCAGGGGAGCGGCCUGCGUCCCAUCAGGUAGUUGGUAGGGUAAUGGCCUACCAAGCCUACGACGGGUAGCCGGUCUGAGAGGAUGGCCGGCCACAAGGGCACUGAGACACGGGCCCUACUCCUACGGGAGGCAGCAGUGGGGGAUAUUGGACAAUGGGCGAAAGCCUGAUCCAGCGACGCCGCGUGGAGGACGAAGCCCUUCGGGGUGUAAACUCCUUUUGUCGGGGAAAAAGGACUGAUGGUACCCGACGAAUAAGCCCCGGCUAACUACGUGCCAGCAGCCGCGGUAAUACGUAGGGGGCGAGCGUUACCCGGAAUCACUGGGCGUAAAGGGUGCGUAGGCGGCCGCGUGUGUCUGGCGUAAAAUACCACGGCUCAACCGUGGGAAUGCGCUGGAAACUACGUGGCUUGGGUGCGGCAGAGGCAGACGGAACUGCUGGUGUAGGGGUGAAAUCCGUAGAUAUCAGCAGGAACGCCGGUGGAGAAGUCGGUCUGCUGGGCCGUAACCGACGCUGAGGCACGAAAGCUAGGGGAGCGAACC